AAUAGGGUGGCCGAGUUUCAGGCAGAAGAUUGUAGUCCUUCCCACGGACAUUUUGUCCCCCUGUUA
rnacentral:tRNA from 1 species